GGCGUGGCCGGGGCCUAGUCGCCGCUGAAGCCUCCAAAGUUGCAGCCAUGGCCAGCGGGACAUUCAAGCGGCUCGCCGGCCUGUCGGGGGCCCUGGCCGUGGGGCUGGGCGCGUACGGGGCGCACGGAUUCCGACGCAGUGAUCGGGAUGAAUAUUUGAAAGAGCUGUUCGAAACUGCCAACAAGUAUCACUUCCUGCACAGUUUGGCUCUUCUGGGAGUCCCACAUUGCCGCAAACCCCUGCUGGCUGGCACCUUGCUGACCUCCGGGAUGGCCAUGUUCUGCGGCUCCCUCUACUACCAGGCCAUCACCGCCGACCCCACCCUCACCAAGGCCGCGCCGCUCGGCGGGACCCUGCUGAUCGUCGGCUGGGCGGCCAUGGCCCUGUGAGGGGCGGAGCGAGACACGGGGAGCAACAACGGCGGGAAAUGGUGCCACACCUCACGCUGCCUCGGCAAGGCCAGCAGCAUCAUCGACAACCACAGCCCCUCAACCUGACUAUCAGUCCGAAGAAGUAUCUCCACCCAAAACGUCACCUAUUCCUUUUCUCCAGAGAUGCUGCCUAGAAACAUAGAAACAUAGAAAUUAGGUGCAGGAGUAGAGGCCAUUCGGCCCUUCGAGCCUGCACCAUUCGCCAUUCAAUAUGAUCAUGGCUGAUCAUCCAACUCAGUAUCCCGUACCUGCCUUCUCUCCAUACCAUCUGAUCCCCUUAGCCACAAGGGCCACAUCUAACUCCCUCUUAAAUAUAGCCAAUGAACUGUGGCCUCAACUACCCUCUGCGGCAGAGAGUUCCAGAGAUUCACCACU